GGUAUUGUUUGCCCCACAAUGAGCCCCGGAAACUCAAGUGUAUGUCAAACAUCGAAAACAAAAU
rfam:Mycobacterium abscessus strain PAP053 genome assembly, contig: ERS075544SCcontig000036